UACAGAGGUGGCAAGCGUUGUUCGGAAUUACUGGGCGUAAAGGGCGCGUAGGCGGUUCGUUAAGUCCUGUGUGAAAUCCCCCGGCUCAACUGGGGAACUGCACAGGAAACUAGCGGGCUUGAGCUCGGGAGAGGGAAGCGGAAUUCCCGGUGUAGAGGUGAAAUUCGUAGAUAUCGGGAGGAACACCGGUGGCGAAGGCGGCGACCUGGGUAGAUACUGACGCUGAGGUGCGAAAGCGUGGGGAGCAAACAGG
rnacentral:rRNA from 1 species